rnacentral:rRNA from 1 species
GGCCGCGGGAAUUCGAUUAGAGUUUGAUCAUGGCUCAGGAUGAACGCUAGCGGCAGGCUUAACACAUGCAAGUCGAGGGGUAACAGAGAAAAGCUUGCUUUUUUGCUGACGACCGGCGCACGGGUGCGUAACGCGUAUACAAUCUGCCUUAUACAGAGGGAUAGCCUUUANAAAUGAAGAUUAAUACCUUAUAGUCUAUAUAUAUAGCAUUAUAUAAAUAGUAAAGCUUCGGUGGUAUAAGAUGAGUAUGCGUCCUAUUAGUUAGUUGGUGAGGUAACGGCUUACCAAGACAACGAUAGGUAGGGGCCCUGAGAGGGGGAUCCCCCACACUGGUACUGAGACACGGACCAGACUCCUACGGGAGGCAGCAGUGAGGAAUAUUGGACAAUGGAGGCAACUCUGAUCCAGCCAUGCCGCGUGCAGGAAGACGGCCCUAUGGGUUGUAAACUGCUUUUAUAUAGGAAGAAACCUUUUCACGUGUGAGAAGCUGACGGUACUAUAAGAAUAAGGACCGGCUAACUCCGUGCCAGCAGCCGCGGUAAUACGGAGGGUCCGAGCGUUAUCCGGAAUCAUUGGGUUUAAAGGGUCCGUANGCGGGAAUCUAAGUCNGUGGUGAAUCUUGCAGCUCAACUGUAAAAUUGCCAUUGAUACUGGAUUUCUUGAAUUAGUGUGAAGUGGUUANAAUGUGUAGUGUANCGGUG